CCUUCUGAGCAAGCUUAGGGAGGUAAAGAGGAACCAAGCACCAGCCGUCCAAGAAAAUCGCUUUUCGCUUUAAAAGAAAUGAAGCGCUGCUGUUGUGUCGCUCCUUUUCUCUGUUCUCAAAACCACCAGACUUUCAGGGCAUAAUGGAGGCUUCAUGUAGGAAUUGUUUCCUGUCCGGUGUUCGUCAAUCUCCUCUGCUUGAUGGAAGAAGCCUGUCAGCAAAGUUAAAACAGACGCCUGAGGAAAAGGAAACAGAAGUGAGGUUGGAAUGAUUAUGCAUUACAUUAACUUGCAACAUGUGGAUUUGUUAGAAAAGGUCAGACACUGCACCAGGGAGAGGAUGGAGCCGUCGAAGAUGUCUGAGAUGACGCUGCGAUAGUGAGACUGCUUCUUCUUCCUGGAGGUGAGCAGCAGCUGAGCUGCGUAAAG